rnacentral:rRNA from 1 species
UGCAGUCGAGCGGAUGAGAAGAGCUUGCUCUUCGAUUCAGCGGCGGACGGGUGAGUAAUGCCUAGGAAUCUGCCUGGUAGUGGGGGACAACGUUUCGAAAGGAACGCUAAUACCGCAUACGUCCUACGGGAGAAAGCAGGGGACCUUCGGGCCUUGCGCUAUCAGAUGAGCCUAGGUCGGAUUAGCUAGUUGGUGAGGUAAUGGCUCACCAAGGCGACGAUCCGUAACUGGUCUGAGAGGAUGAUCAGUCACACUGGAACUGAGACACGGUCCAGACUCCUACGGGAGGCAGCAGUGGGGAAUAUUGGACAAUGGGCGAAAGCCUGAUCCAGCCAUGCCGCGUGUGUGAAGAAGGUCUUCGGAUUGUAAAGCACUUUAAGUUGGGAGGAAGGGCAUUAACCUAAUACGUUAGUGUUUUGACGUUACCGACAGAAUAAGCACCGGCUAACUCUGUGCCAGCAGCCGCGGUAAUACAGAGGGUGCAAGCGUUAAUCGGAAUUACUGGGCGUAAAGCGCGCGUAGGUGGUUUGUUAAGUUGGAUGUGAAAGCCCCGGGCUCAACCUGGGAACUGCAUCCAAAACUGGCAAGCUAGAGUACGGUAGAGGGUGGUGGAAUUUCCUGUGUAGCGGUGAAAUGCGUAGAUAUAGGAAGGAACACCAGUGGCGAAGGCGACCACCUGGACUGAUACUGACACUGAGGUGCGAAAGCGUGGGGAGCAAACAGGAUUAGAUACCCUGGUAGUCCACGCCGUAAACGAUGUCAACUAGCCGUUGGAAUCCUUGAGAUUUUAGUGGCGCAGCUAACGCAUUAAGUUGACCGCCUGGGGAGUACGGCCGCAAGGUUAAAACUCAAAUGAAUUGACGGGGGCCCCGCACAAGCGGU